rnacentral:rRNA from 1 species
GGCCACUGCUAUUGGGGUCCGAUUAAGCCAUGCGAGUCAUGGGGCGCCUUGUGCGCACCGGCGGACGGCUCAGUAACACGUCGGUAACCUACCCUCGGGAGGGGGAUAACCCCGGGAAACUGGGGCUAAUCUCCCAUAGGUUUAGGGCACUGGAAGGUCCCUAAACCGAAAGGGGCUCUGCCCGCCCGAGGAUGGGCCGGCGGCCGAUUAGGUAGUUGGUGGGGUAACGGCCCACCAAGCCCAUAAUCGGUACGGGCAGUGAGGGCUGGAGCCCGGAGAUGGACACUGAGACACGGGUCCAGGCCCUACGGGGCGCAGCAGGCGCGAAACCUCCGCAAUGCUCGAAAGAGCGACGGGGGGACCCCAAGUGCCGUGGUACAACCACGGCUUUUCCGGAGUGUAAGAAGCUCCGGGAAUAAGGGCUGGGCAAGGCCGGUGGCAGCCGCCGCGGUAAUACCGGCGGCCCGAGUGGUGGCCACUAUUAUUGGGCCUAAAGCGUCCGUAGCCGGGCUUGUAAGUCCCUGGCGAAAUCCCACGGCUCAACCGUGGGGCUUGCUGGGGAUACUGCAAGCCUUGGGACCGGGAGAGGCCGGGGGUACUCCUGGGGUAGGGGUGAAAUCCUAUAAUCCCAGGAGGACCGCCAGUGGCGAAGGCGCCCGGCUGGAACGGGUCCGACGGUGAGGGACGAAGGCCAGGGGAGCAAACCGGAUUAGAUACCCGGGUAGUCCUGGCUGUAAAGGAUGCGGGCUAGGUGUUGCUUGGACCUCGAGUCCAAGCAGUGCCGCAGGGAAGCCGUUAAGCCCGCCGCCUGGGGAGUACGGCCGCAGGGCUGAAACUUAAAGGAAUUGGCGGGGGAGCACUACAAGGGGUGGAGCGUGCGGUUUAAUUGGAUUCAACGCCGGGAACCUCACCGGGGGCGACGGCAGGAUGAAGGCCAGGCUGAAGGUCUUGCUGGACACGCCGAGAGGAGGUGCAUGGCCGCCGUCAGCUCGUACCGUGAGGCGUCCACUUAAGUGUGGUAACGAGCGAGACCCGCGCCCCCAGUUGCCAGCCCUUCCCGUUGGGAAGGAGGCACUCUGGGGGGACUGCCGGCGAUAAGCCGGAGGAAGGAGCGGGCGACGGUAGGUCAGUAUGCCCCGAAACCCCCGGGCUACACGCGCGCUACAAUGGGCGGGACAAUGGGAUCCAACCCCGAAAGGGGAAGGAAAUCCCCUAAACCCGCCCCCAGUUCGGAUUGCGGGCUGCAACUCGCCCGCAUGAAGCUGGAAUCCCUAGUACCCGCGUGUCAUCAUCGCGCGGUGAAUACCUCCCAUGCUACCUUG